rnacentral:rRNA from 1 species
UACGGGGGGGGCAAGCGUUGUUCGGAAUUACUGGGCGUAAAGGGCUCGUAGGCGGCCAACUAAGUCAGACGUGAAAUCCCUCGGCUUAACCGGGGAACUGCGUCUGAUACUGGAUGGCUUGAAUCCGGGAGAGGGAUGCGGAAUUCCAGGUGUAGCGGUGAAAUGCGUAGAUAUCGGAAGGAACAUCAGUGGCGAAAGCGGCUUCCUGGACCAGUACCGACGUUCAGGCACGAAAGCGUGGGGAGCAAACAGG